CGGCGGACGGGUGAGUAAUGCCUAGGAAUCUGCCUGGUAGUGGGGGACAACGUUUCGAAAGGAACGCUAAUACCGCAUACGUCCUACGGGAGAAAGCAGGGACCUUCGGGCCUUGCGCUAUCAGAUGAGCCUAGGUCGGAUUAGCUAGUUGGUGAGGUAAUGGCUCACCAAGGCGACGAUCCGUAACUGGUCUGGGAGGAUGAUCAGUCACACUGGAACUGAGACACGGUCCAGACUCCUACGGGAGGCAGCAGUU
rnacentral:rRNA from 1 species